rnacentral:rRNA from 1 species
GACAGAGGUUGCAAACGUUGUUCGGAAUCACUGGGCAUAAAGCGCACGUAGGCGGUCUGUUAAGUCAGGUGUGAAAGCCCCCGGCUCAACCGGGGAAUUGCAUUUGAUACUGGCAGGCUCGAGAACGGUAGGGGUGAGUGGAACUCCAGGUGGAGCGGUGAAAUGCGUAGAUAUCUGGAGGAACACCGGUGGCGAAAGCGGCUCACUGGACCGUCACUGACGCUGAGGUGCGAAAUCUAGGGUAGCAAACGGG